rnacentral:rRNA from 1 species
AAGAAUAUUCUUAGGCGCGCGAGAGAACUCUUGUUAAGGACUCUGCAAAUUACCCUCGUAACUUCGGGAGAAGAGGGGCUGCAGUCCGUGAUUCACCUAGCGUGAUGAGCGGAAGGCAGCCGCAGACUAAAUGGCCCAGGCGACUGUUUAACAAAACACAGCACUAUGCAAAGACGACUUAAGUCGAAGUAUAUGGUGUGAUGCCUGCCCAAUGCCAAAAGGUCAAAAGGAGAAGUUAGCAGCAAUGCAAAGCUUUGAAUUUAAGCCCUGGUGAAUGGCGGCCGUAACGAUAACGGUCCUAAGGUAGCGAAAUUCCUUGUCGGGUAAGUUCCGACCUGCACGAAUGGUAUAACGAUCUGGGCGCUCGUCUCAACAAGAGACUCGGUGAAAUUGUAGUAGCC